GGGCUGUAGCUUUGUGGGUAAUGCAUCUGUUUUGCAUGCAGAAGGUCCCAGCAUCAAUCCCUGGCAUGCCCA